CUGGGCUCAUCUACCGCUCUGAAGGUCUGGUCAACUGGAGCUGUGCGUUAGAGUCGGCCAUCUCAGACAUAGAGGUGGACUCAGAGGAGCUGUCUGGCAGGUCUCUUCUGUCUGUUCCCGGUUAUCAGCACAAAGUGGAGUUCGGGAUCAUGCUUACAUUUGCUUAUCCACUGGAGGGACAGGAAGGAGAGGUUGCAGUUUCAACCACGCGUCCAGAGACGAUGCUGGGAUACGUGGCCAUUGCUGUUCAUCCUGAUGACCCUCGAUAUAAAGAUCUUCACGGCAAACACUGCAGACAUCCAUUCACUGAGCGCUUAUUACCCAUCGUCACUGACUCUAUGGUGGAUGUGACAUUU